GUGCAUGGAAACACGCUAGUCACAAUCCUCUGUCAUCUGUGCUUAUCUUCAAUGCUUGUGAUAGCAUCAUCUCAAUUCCAGUCCUCGAGAGGACUUGACUGGAGAGAAAUAGGAGCAGCAGAGACAGUCUGCACAUGACAAAAGAAACGGGAUAUUUGAGAGCCAGAUUAAAACACAUCAAGAAGGGGU